rnacentral:lncRNA from 1 species
CGAGAGGACAAGCUGUCCUUCAAGUGUCGAGAAGUUCUGCCACUGAAGAAGUUGUCACUAUGCGCUACAUCUAUAAAGUGGUGGCAAGCCAGUACGACCCCCUUGGGUUUUUAGUACCUUACACCACCAGGGCAAAAGUUGUCAUCCAACACCUGUGGGACAAAAGGUGUGACUGGGACGACUCUGCUCUGCCAGAUCACCUGCUAGCCACAUGGAGAGAGUGGGAGGACGAGUUACCGCACCUACAGAGCAUAGCACUUCCGAGGUGUUACACUUGCUGUGAGUUAGACUCUCCUACCUGUGAGCGUGAGAUCCACGUGUUCUGCGAUGCCUCAGAGCAAGCCUAUGGCUCUGUGGCAUACCUCCGAACCAAGAAUCCUCAUGGAGUGGUCCAUGUAGCUUUCGUCACCGCAAGAUCCAGAGUUGCUCCAAGAAAGCAGCAGUCAAUCCCACGUCUGGAGUUAUGCGCUGCUCUGACUGGAGCACACAUGGCUCAGAUCCUCAAAUCUGAACUCACACUGCCCAUCCAGCGGGUGAUGCUCUGGUCGGACUCUACUACCGUGCUCAAGUGGCUGCAGUCAGAGUCAUGCAGAUUCAAAGUGUUUGUUGGUACACGCGUGGCAGAGAUUCAAGAUCUCACUGAGGGCGACACAUGGCGAUACGUGGACUCUGCACAGAACCCUGCCGACGACAUAACGCGUGGCAAACCUCUCAACACAUUGACACCAGACAGCCGCUGGGGUCAAGGCCCAACCAUCUUGUGGUGUGAACCAGACAAAUGGCCACAAAGUCCUCAGAUUCAGACAGAGGCAGAUCAGAGUGAAGAGCUCAAGAAACCUCAGUUCUGCGGCCUCAUUACUACCACGCCAAGUCUGCUCCCAGACGCUAAGCAGUUCUCUUCCUUCAGAGACCUCCUGACCGCCACAACAAAGACUCUACAUGGGGCGGCCCCAGGCAACGUCACAGCCUACAGGCAAGCCCAGCUGGCUCUGCUACAACAGGUUCAACAAGACAGUUUUCCUAUUGACUAUGACCUACUGCAGUCAGGUAAAUCAGUCGCCAAGAGCAGCACACUUCUCAAGCUUGCACCAGAGUUCGACCACAGUGACAAGCUCAUCCGUGUUGGUGGACGUCUGCGCCAUAGUAACCAGCUGGAACCGGAUACUGUUCACUCGGUGGUGCUGGAUGCCAAACACUCAGUAACGCAGUUGCUCAUCCAAGAGUAUGAUUACCGUCUGCACCAUCCAGGCUCAGAGGGGGUCUUUUCAGAGAUGCGUUGCAAGUAUUGGCUACCAGGAGGACGAGAGGCUAUUCGCCGUUUUCAGCGCAAGUGCCAAGAGUGUCAGAAUUGGCACGGAAAGCCACAAAUCCCAAAAAUGGCAGACCUG